rnacentral:lncRNA from 1 species
ACACAAGGGUUGAAUGGACUAAAGUGAAUUUAAGCUUCAUGAUGGAUCCAGGUUUAAAACCCACCUAACAUGACCAGUUGUUGUGAGCAUCUCCAAAUUUAGAAAGCUUUUUGAGUUGUUAUGAUUAGAUGAAAUAUGCCCCAGUGGGUGGAUUAAGAUGAGCUAUAAUGGCACAAGGCAUUAGUCUAGAAUUUGAAGAGAGAAUUGCAUGUUGAGUGCCCGUCCACUGGUAGGCCCCUCGCCAAUGGAAAGAGCACGAGCACACGAACUCUCAAAAAGUUUAGAAGUCAGGAUAUCUCAGUGAGAUUAAGUCUUCUCGCGAAGCUAGUUGAGGUCAAAGAUUAUGUGAUUGAAAAAUGGAUUGAUUGACUUCUGGAUAAGUGCUCUAAGAGUUACAAUUGGGCUGGGAAAAGAGUCCGGUUCAGUCCAGUCAUUAUAACCUCUUCCAUUGUUAAUCAACAUAAAUAUACACAGGUGUGCACUCUUGUAGUUAAAGAGAGAGAAUACAAAUAAAACAUUAUAUUUGUGUAGUCUGCUUGGUGUCCAUUUAUCUCUCUCCCUUCUAAGUUAUCUUUUAAUACUUGAAAGUGAGAGGUUCUACAGCUAGGGGUGCAAGUCGAGUCGAGUAGCAAGAGACUCGAGCUCAAC